AUCUGGAAGAAUCUGGAGACAGGUGCUGCAUGGCUGUCGUCAGCUCGUGUCGUGAGAUGUUGGGUUAAGUCCCGCAACGAGCGCAACCCUUGCCUUUAGUUGCCAGCAGUUCGGCUGGGCGACUCUAAAGGGACUGCCGGUGUUAAACCGGAGGAAGGUGGGGAUGACGUCAAGGUCCUCAUGGCCUUUAUGACCAGGGCUACACGACGUACUACAAUGGCCGAUACGAAAGGGCAGGCGACACUGCGAGGUGAAGCCAAUCCCGUAAAAAUCGGUCUCAGUCCGGAUUGGAGUCUGCAACUCGACUCCAUGAAGUUGGAAUCGCUAGUAAUCGUGGAUCAGCAUGCCACGGUGAAUACGUUCCCGGGCCUU
rnacentral:rRNA from 1 species